GUGUUAUUCUUCCCCAGAAAGCAUAACCUCGAUCCAAUCGUUAGUAAACCCAAAGUGAAGGACAUUCUACACAGCAUUGGAUAGUACUCUUCACAAGAAUGAAGAUCAUGGAAGAUAAGGGACGACUGAAGAAUGUUAUGGAUUACAGGACACUAAGGAGAGAUGAGCAGAACCAAGGCUACUUACAGAACGACUGAUUCCAGGUCCAGAGCACAGGACUCCGGAAUGUCCUGAAGCAGCAGCUGCCAGAGGUGCUACCCCGACCUGCAGGGACCUAAGGCCUGGGGAGCCAGUGUGAAGAGGUAGCGAGACUGGAGACUGAAUAACGUCAACGCCAGCAAGAAUAGCUGCGAUGGCCUAAGGCACAUGAAAGCGCUGUCACCUUCACCACAGAUCCAUGGUUUAAAAAAUGAUAUCUAUUGAGGACAUCUGCCUUCUGAUGGACAUCCACCACCAGAGCUUUGGAUCAGCAGAGAUAACCACCAUUACCCCAGUGGGUUGAGCGCAUUUUAACCCAAAGCAGGGUGCGUGACAGUUUUGCUAAGUAAUACAAGUCUGUAGGGUUUGGACUUCUUGAAAUAUUGAAAAUAACUCUUAGGACUAUUCCAAACAAAAUAAGAAAUGAGAAU